rnacentral:rRNA from 1 species
UACGGGGGGAGCAAGCGUUGUUCGGAUUUACUGGGCGUAAAGGGCGCGUAGGCGGUCAGCACAAGUCAGUUGUGAAAUCUCCGGGCUUAACUCGGAACGGUCAACUGAUACUGUGCGACUAGAGUGCAGAAGGGGCAACUGGAAUUCUCGGUGUAGCGGUGAAAUGCGUAGAUAUCGAGAGGAACACCUGCGGCGAAGGCGGGUUGCUGGGCUGACACUGACGCUGAGGCGCGAAAGCCAGGGGAGCGAACAGG